GCCGAACGCUGGCGGCGUGCUUAACACAUGCAAGUCGAACGGAAAGGCCCUGCUUUUGUGGGGUGCUCGAGUGGCGAACGGGUGAGUAACACGAGAGUAACCUGCCCUUGACUUUGGGAUAACUUCAGGAAACUGGGGCUAAUACCGGAUCGGAGCUCCUGCUGCAUGGUGGGGGUUGGUAAGCUUCGGCGGUUGGGGAUGGACUCGCGGCUUAUCAGCUUGUUGGUGGGGUAGUGGCUUCCCAAGGCUUUGCCGGGUAGCCGGCCUGAGAGGGUGACCGGCCACAUUGGGACUGAGAUACGGCCCAGACUCCGACGGGAGGCAGCAGUGGGGAAGAUUGCACAAUGGGCGGAAGCCUGAUGCAGCAACGCCGCGUGCGGGAUGACGGCCUUCGGGUUGUAAACCGCUUUCGCCUGUGACGAAGCGUGAGUGACGGUAAUGGGUAAAGAAGCACCGGCUAACUACGUG
rnacentral:rRNA from 1 species